CGACCGCUGGCGGCGUGCUUACCACAUGCACGUCGCACGGCAAGGCCCUGCUUUUGUGGGGUGCUCGAGUGGCGAACGGGUGAGUAACACGUGAGUAACCUGCCCUUGACUUUGGGAUAACUUCAGGAAACUGGGGCUAAUACCGGAUAGGAGCUCCUGCUGCAUGGUGGGGGUUGGAAAGUUUCGGCGGUUGGGGAUGGGCUCGCGGCUUAUCAGCUUGUUGGUGGGGUAGUGGCUUACCAAGGCUUUGACGGGUAGCCGGCCUGAGAGGGUGACCGGCCACAUUGGGACUGAGAUACGGCCCAGACUCCUACGGGAGGCAGCAGUGGGGAAUAUUGCACAAUGGGCGGAAGCCUGAUGCAGCAACGCCGCGUGCGGGAUGACGGCCUUCGGGUUGUAAACCGCUUUCGCCUGUGACGAAGCGUGAGUGACGGUAAUGGGUAAAGAAGCACCGGCUAACUACGUG
rnacentral:rRNA from 1 species